UAGUGAUCAGAGUAGUAGAAGAGAUAACCGGAAGUGCUUGGGACGCAAAUUCAAAAGUAGACAUCCAAAUUUCAUCAGUCGAAAUUUAGACUUGAGUAGUCAAAUCUGACUCACCCAGGCUGUGAGUCUCACACAAAGUGCAUGUGGCACAUGCCUCAUCAAAACAAAGCUGAAAGCUAGAGAUGAAAUCAAAUCAUACGUUAAAACGAAAUAAAUCACAGAAAAAGAAACUAUAAAACUCUUAGGUCUAGCCAAAGUAAACACCAAGACUCUAAAGUUCUUCAUCAAGCAUAUAGAGAAUCACCAAGCACAACAAACACACAUCGCCGAUUACUUCACCACCAAAGUCGCAGACUAUGCACCACUUGACACUACUCAUGGUCCCAAUUUGUUCAAGAUCAAGCUGCCACGACCUCCAACCAAAUCUCAAAUUCCAAUUUAAGAUCAAGCGUUGGCCACCCUUGAAUGGUAUACACUCUUAGAGAUCGAAGCAAAUGAUUUUCUUUUGUAAAGAAUACCCACAGAGGUUAUAACACCCCC
rnacentral:lncRNA from 1 species